GUCUAUAGCUGUACUACCCUGAACACGCCCGGUCUCAGAAGCUAAGCAGGGUUCGGCCUGGUUAAUACUUGGAUGGGAGAGUAGAUGGGUGGUUACCAGAGGCCAGGAAGU
rnacentral:rRNA from 1 species